GGUUAACGCUGGCGGUGCGCAUAACACAUGCAAGUCGAGCGAGGGCUGAUUUCUCGCAAGAGAGAUCAGUUCCUAGCGGCGAACGGGUGAGUAACACGUGGGUAACCUUUCCUAUCGCGGGGGAUAACAGCGGGAAACCGCUGCUAAUACCGCAUGUCGUCACCGGCUCAUGGUUGGUGAAGAAAGCAGCAAUGCACGAUGGGGUGGGCCCGCGGCCUAUCAGCUAGUCGGUGGGGUAACGGCCUACCGAGGCGAUGACGGGUAGCUGGUCUGAGAG
rnacentral:rRNA from 1 species